GUCCCUAUGCUGCCUGCCUCUCAUUGCCCCUCCAAUACUUACUCGUCGCUAUUAUUUAUUAUUCAUGUUAACAUAAUCAUGUUGCCUUGAUGGCUCAUUGCUAGCUGCUGGUGUGAGAUUAUCCUACCUAAAUAAAUGACACCAGCGGCUCUUCUUCGGAUAAACAAAUGAUAUUAAUUUAUCUCCUAGAUAAAUAAUAUUCAUGCAGUUGUUUAGACAAACCAAUGGUUGCACUCCAUGAUAAAGAUUUGCUAUCAGCAAGUUGAGAUGAAUGAAUUGGAAAGAAUCAUAAAUGCUUAAACUUUACGUCGGUAGAGCACCAAUGCAUUUAAGAGUGUGACAGCCCAGUUCGGGCCCGGUCCACUUGACCGGGCCAACUGGGGCUAGGCCUGCCACGGCCCGCAUAGGGAGGAAGGGGUCUUCCGUUCCUCUUCUCU
rnacentral:lncRNA from 1 species